rnacentral:rRNA from 1 species
UACGUAGGGUGCGAGCGUUAAUCGGAAUUACUGGGCGUAAAGCGUGCGCAGGCGGUUUUGUAAGUCAGAUGUGAAAUCCCCGGGCUUAACCUGGGAACUGCGUUUGGAACUACAAGGCUAGAGUGUAGCAGAGGGGGGUGGAAUUCCACGUGUAGCAGUGAAAUGCGUAGAGAUGUGGAGGAACACCGAUGGCGAAGGCAGCCCCCUGGGCUAACACUGACGCUCAUGCACGAAAGCGUGGGGAGCAAACAGG